GUGCUCGCUUCGGCAGCACAUAUACUAAAACUGGAAUGAUACAGAAAAGAUUAGCAUGGCCCCUGCACAAGGAUGACAUGCAAAUUCGUGAAGUGUUCCAUAUUUUA
rnacentral:snRNA from 1 species